rnacentral:misc_RNA from 1 species
GGAGCCCGCGCUGCCCGAAUGUGGUGGCGGGGUGCUCAGAUGGCGGAGACACUGGUGAGUUUUUCCUCGGCAACGGCCGGGAUCCUUCUAGUACAGCUGCUCUUCGGGGUGGUGGGAACGAAGUCCUGGUGCGGCUGGGGGAAGGCGGAGAGCACCCUGUUGGGUCCUGAAGGAACAACCAUGGGUUGUUUUCUUCGGAGCCUUGUGCGGACGUGAGUCCGUGGAGGUUGCCAGGCAUGGCCUGGUCUCGCAAACGGCGACUCUUGUGGGUUGCAGGUGUGGGACUGUUCGGGUUGUGGGUUGGU